CCCCUCGACUUUUCCGGGAGGAAUCUGGGUCAUUUUCACACAUUUAGCCAAUGGUUCUGUUGCUUCACUGUUGUGUUUUCACUGCCCCUUUGUGACUCUCAAACCAGGAUCCGCUUUGCUCAAACCAUGAGCACGAGUUUGAUGCUGAGCGUUUUUAUCGUUACUCUGUGCCCAGGUGCUGUGCUGGGUGACUCGAUCCAGUCCAACAAACCCGAAGCGUCUGCAGGAGCAGGGGACAAUGUGACACUCAGCUGUUCUUACAAUACCAGCUAUUCUGAUGUCUAUCUCUACUGGUACCGACAGUUUCCUGACCAAGGCCCACAGUACGUUCUCCGAAUAGGUGCCAAGGCCUACAGCUCUGUCCGUGAUUUUGCAGAGUUUGCCAAGAAGAGAUUUACUCCCCAGGCUAAUGAUACCUCUACAGUUGUGACUGUCACAGCCCUGGAGCUGGCGGACACAGCGGUGUAUUACUGCGCCCUGCAGAGGGCACAGUGA